rnacentral:tRNA from 1 species
GGCUCAGAUGGUAAGGUAUCUGCCUGCAAUGCAGGAGACCCAGGUUCAAUCCCUGG